UGAGCAACCUGCCUUUCAGAGGGGGAUAACAGUUGGAAACGACUGCUAAUACCGCAUAACGCUGCGAUGGGGCAUCCCGAUGCAGCCAAAGGAGCAAUCCGCUGGAAGAUGGGCUCGCGGCCGAUUAGCUAGUUGGUGGGGUAACGGCCCACCAAGGCGACGAUCGGUAGCCGGACUGAGAGGUUGAUCGGCCACAUUGGGACUGAGACACGGCCCAGACUCCUACGGAAGGCAGCAG
rnacentral:rRNA from 1 species